rnacentral:lncRNA from 1 species
CGGGAUUCUUCCCUACAAGGAGUUCAGCAGGAGCGGAGCUGCUGUGACCCAUGCGAGCGGAAGCGGAGACCUCUGCUCCCAGCACAGCCGCCGGAAAUGCGCAAACCAUGGACCCUGGCAGAGCCCCGUGGUAUAAGCCGGGCAGGUUUCUGUCGACCUUCCACAAAGGAGACAGCCAGCGCAUCUCUGCCUGCUCCGUGGCUUGGACCCAGAACCCGCAGACGCAGCUCUGCUGCGAGAAAGGAGUUCUCCUGCGGCCUGAGUCGGAGGCCCUGGUGCCGAGAGCAGUUUUAUUCCCCCUUCCUGUCUCCCCACGAGUGCCUCUCCUUCCCGGUUUGCCCAGCACGAAGGACCUUGUGGCACUCACUCUGCGCCCGCUGUGUUCCGCGUCUCCAGAGAGCCCUCUUGGGGCUGGUUCCAGCGUGCUCUAAGACGCUGGGGAGGGGGAGCUUUCUCCGCACGCCUGGACGGGCAGUGUGUCCGCCGGCCCCUGCACUCUGGGGCUUGAAGGUAGCUGAGCAGUCGCACGACCUCCAGACAUUCCUGCUAAGGCGGGCGUCCACCGAAGGGGCUUCACCCUCUCUGUCCAGAGCACAUUCCACCCCGGGAACUCCAAGAGAGAGCACACAGCGCCCUUGCCCGCCACCAGCCUGCCCCGCACAACGCCAUCCCCCAGCUCCAGGCGUCUCCACUGGGGCUGCGCACACGCCCCGAACACUUGUCCGGAGCACUUGUUCUUGUGACAGCCUCCAGAACUCCCCAGAGCAGUUGGGAUGA